rnacentral:rRNA from 1 species
GACGUAGGUGGCAAACGUUAUCCGGAAUUAUUGGGCGUAAAGGGGGCGUAGGGGGUGAGGAAAGUCGGAUGUGAAAGCUCCGAGCUCAACUCGGAAAUGGCAUUGGAAACUACCUUGCUCGAGGGUUUGAGGGGGGACUGGAAUACUUGGUGUAGCAGUGAAAUGCGUAGAUAUCAAGUAGAACACCAGUGGCGAAGGCGAGUCCCUGGAAAACUCCUGACACUGAGGCACGAAAGCUAGGGGAGCAAACAGG